rnacentral:lncRNA from 1 species
GGCAAGCUUUCCAUCGUCUCUGUGAGGAGAGGCUACUGGGGGAACAAGAUUGGCAAGCCCCACACUGUUCCAUGCAAGGUGACAGGCCGCUGUGGCUCUGUGCUGGUGUCUCAUCCCUGCCCACAGAGGCACUGGCAUUGUCUCUACUCCUGUGCCCAAGAAGCUCCUGAUGAUGGCCGGUAUAGAUGACUGCUACACUUCAGCCAGAGGCUGCACUGCCACCCUGGGCAACUUUUCCAAGGCCACCUUUGAUGCCAUCUCCAAGACUUACAGCUACCUGACCCCUGACCUCUGGAAAGAGACUGUCUUCACCAAGUCUCCUUAUCGGGAAUUCACUGAUCAUCUUGUGAAAACCCACACCAGAGUCUCUGUUCAGGGGACCCAGGCUCCAGCUGUGGCUACCACAUAA